UACGGAGGGUGCAAGCGUUAUCCGGAAUUACUGGGUUUAAAGGGUGCGUAGGCGGCUUUAUAAGUCAGGGGUGAAAGCUUGCCGCUUAACGGUAAAAUUGCCUUUGAUACUGUAGAGCUUGAAAGAGGUUGAGGUCAGCAGAAUGUGGCAUGUAGCGGUGAAAUGCAUAGAUAUGCCAUAGAACACCGAUUGCGAAGGCAGCUGGCUGGGCCUACUUUGACGCUGAGGCACGAAAGCGUGGGGAGCGUACAGG
rnacentral:rRNA from 1 species